GACGAACGCUGGCGGCGUGCUUAACACAUGCAAGUCGAACGGAAAGACCCUGCUUUUGUGGGGUGCUCGAGUGGCGCACGGGUGAGUAACACGUGUGUAACCUCCCCCUGACUUUGGGAUAACUUCAGGAAACUGGGGCUAAUACCGGAUAGGAGCUCCUGCUGCAUGGUGGGCGUUGGAAAGUUUCGGCGGUUGGGGCAGGACUCGCGGCUUAUGAGCUUGUUGGUGGGGUAGUUGCUUACCAAGGCUUUGACGGCUAGCCGGCCUGAGAGGGUGAACAGCGACAUUGGGACUGAGAGACGGCGCAGACGCCAACGGGAGGCAGCAGUGGGGAAUAUUGCGCAAUGGGCGGAAGCCUGAUGCAGCAACGCCGCGUGCGGGAUGACGGCCUUCGGGUUGUAAACCGCUGUCGCCGGUGACGAAGCGUGAGUGACGGUAAUGGGUAAAGAAGCAACGGCUAACUACGUG
rnacentral:rRNA from 1 species